rnacentral:lncRNA from 1 species
GGAAAAUCUGAGUACUUGGUUUGGCGUCAGAAGAUUUGAGCUGGAGCCUGGGCACUGCUAUGUGAAUCUGGGAAAGUCAUUUGAAUUUUCCAAGCCUUGAUGUUUUUAUCUGUAAAACUGGAGUGAUGGUACUGCUUGUUGCCUACUUCAAGGGGUUGUUGGAAGGGGAGAGGAAAAUUAACGUCAGAUGAUAAGACACAGAAAAUGCAAAACACAGUGGGAUGUUAUGAACACUCAAGGAAGGGGAAACCAAAUGGAGGAGCUACGUCAACAUUUAAUCUGAAUAAAAGAUGCAGCACCCCUAACUCCCUGCUGAGUGCAUCCUCUCAUCUGAAGCCACUUCUAAGGACUUUUGUAGAAAUGUUGACUCUUGAGCCAAAGGAUUACAGUGAACAUGCGUCUCUGAGUGAUACUGGAGGAGAUUUCAGCUCCCAAAGACCUCUGAGAGGAGGGCAAAUGUUCAGAGAGGGCAAGUGGACACUGCAGUAGCUCUGCUCAAUCUUGGGACAGAGAUCCAUCCAUCUCCCUACAGAUUCAUAAGUACAUCGGUAAGUAAAUUCGGGGUGGGGGAGGGGAAGAGGGUGCUGGUAGCUCGCCCUCUACUGUCUUUUGAGUCAGUCCCCUAAGAAGUUAAAGCCAAAGGGGAAAGUCAGGCCCAGGAGGAAAGAAGAGGAGGAGCAGUGACACUGCUUCUUCACUGGGUGUCAUGAGGCAGUGGGAAUAAUGUCUCCUCUUGGGGUGGCACUGCUCUGUUCCGAGUUUUCCACACAUUGAUUAUGUUUUAAUCCAUCAACUACUUUUGAAUCUUGAGUCACAAAAUCACUUAUCUAUUUCCAGUUGACUCAAAGCCCUUCCUUCCUGCUGAGACUUUCCUGGGUUAGACCAUCUUUGAGGCAUCAGUGUGUUGGUCAUUCAUUCUGGCAGCCCUGAGCUCAAUACCUGCUCAUCUUCUGUCCUUAGAGGGGCCUCAUGGCAUACUUCCUACUGUCUGCCACAUUGGUUCAGGCUACCCUUGCAGGGCCCAGGGUCACAGGAUCAGUGCCAUUGGAAUGGAGUGAUCUUGUUGGGUCUAGAUGUCACUGGUGUUGGCUUAAGGAUGGAGGUGUUGAUAUGUCCCUCAGUAAAGACAUAUUGGCUACCUGCUGUGCCAGACACUCUGCCUGGCAUCAGGGACACCAUGGUGAGUAAGAUACGAUGAUCCUCUGCUCUCGAUGGGCUUAGUGGGUGGAGGUAAAUCCAGUUCCACUGCUGAGAACAAUUUCAGAGCACACAUUGACCAACUUAGGGCCCCUGCCUCUUGAUUGUCACCCAUGCCAGUCCCUUAAAUUACAAGAUAAAUGUGUCAGAUGGGUAUCACAGGGGCUUGAGUCUCAUUUAAUCCAGUUAACCUUACUGUCUCACAUAAAGAGAGCACCUGCAGCCUUCAGUAAAAGAUGAAAAGAUACCAAGUCAUCUCUACAGUACAGCUUUCCUGUGGUCCUAGGAGUUUACCUGUCACUUUGCUCUCUCCAAAGUGAGAAUUUGGAUGAGGAGUCUUUAAAAACUGCUUGAAUCAAAAUGGUCCUCCUUAGGGAAGGACUUUGGCCAAGGUGUCAUGAGAUGCCUGCCUUCCUCCCUCACCCUUAGGUGCUCACUCUUUUCUCCAAGUGGCUUGAGUGUUUCACAGUUGUUCAAGGAACGCAGUGCGAGAUCUCACAAGUGCUGUUUCUGGGAGGCCACCUAUUUCUCCUCCAUCAGUCUUACUUAUCCCUGAGAUUGGAAGGGUCAUUUAUGGUCAAAUGAUGCUAAAGGGCCACAGGGGUCUGAAGGCAGUAGCAGAGGACAAAUGAGGAGCCGUUUGUGUGAAUGUUGGGGCUAGGCUGAAGGAGAAGGGUGAAGCCACUGGCUUUGGGGUUUGAGCAGAUUCCCAGCCUUGUGUGGAGAGAGCUGUAGAGCAUGGCCCAGCUGCUAUACCUGGAAGGUGGCUGCUGAGCCUUGAGCCCUGUCUGCUGAGGGGACCCCAGGUGGGCAGGUUGAGAAGUGGACUGCAUCAGCUCUCGGCUAAGAAGCCACUUCGUCUUGGUGAACACGAUGGAAAUGAAUUACCACAUCUGCCUGGUUUGGAGACUAUAGGAAUUGAAUCAAAGGAGACUUACAGCCACCUUCUCAGUGCCUUAGGAUCAGCCGAUUCCACAUGAGUCAGGAGAAGUUGAAGACGUGAAAAAAGGAAAUUGCAAUCUGGUGGACAGGCCUGGACUUACUGGCUGUGUAGCCAUGGACAUCUUACCUUGUCUAUCCAAGUCUUGGCAUUCCAAUUUUUGAAGUGGGUGGGUGUAAUAAUUCCCGCCUUAAUUAUUAUGUGAAGUGACUAAUGCAUUUGUGAAUUUUGUGCAAACCUGCUAUAAAAUAUGCCGUGAAACAUUAGUAAAGUGCUAUAAAGUGUUCCUUUUUAAAAGGCGGUUACUUGGGAAAUAGGAACUUGAGGAGAGUUUCUUGUAUACACGAAUGUAUAAACAACUGAAGAGUUUGAAGGCUCACAGAUCUUUU